ACUGAGGGCUAUCCCGACAGACUCUUCACUGUGAACCCUAGUCAUUGGAAAUGCCUCAAAGAACAAGUCUGUUUCACUUUACCUUCAUGGCUACUGCCAUUAGCCCUGUGGGAUAUUACUGCAGAACAAAU